AUUGAACGCUGGCGGCAGGCCUAACACAUGCAAGUCGAGCGGAUGAAGGGAGCUUGCUCCUGGAUUCAGCGGCGGACGGGUGAGUAAUGCCUAGGAAUCUGCCUGGUAGUGGGGGAUAACGUCCGGAAACGGGCGCUAAUACCGCAUACGUCCUGAGGGAGAAAGUGGGGGAUCUUCGGACCUCACGCUAUCAGAUGAGCCUAGGUCGGAUUAGCUAGUUGGUGGGGUAAAGGCCUACCAAGGCGACGAUCCGUAACUGGUCUGAGAGGAUGAUCGGUCACACUGGAACUGAGACACGGUCCAGACUCCUACGGGAGGCAGCAGUGGGGAAUAUUGGACAACGGGCGAAAGCCUGAUCCAGCGAUGCCGAGUGUGUUAAGAAGGUCUUCGGAUUGUAAAGCACGUUUAGUUGGGAGGAAGGGCAGUAAGUUAAUACCUUGCUGUUUUGACGUUACCAACAGAAUAAGCACCGGCUAACUUCGUG
rnacentral:rRNA from 1 species